rnacentral:rRNA from 1 species
AUUGAACGCUGGCGGCAUGCUUUACACAUGCAAGUCGAACGGUAACAGGGUGCUUGCACCGCUGACGAGUGGCGAACGGGUGAGUAAUGCGUCGGAACGUGCCGAGUAGUGGGGGAUAACGCAGCGAAAGUUGUGCUAAUACCGCAUACGUACUGAGGUAGAAAGUGGGGGACCUUCGGGCCUCACGCUAUUCGAGCGGCCGACGUCUGAUUAGCUAGUAGGUGAGGUAAAGGCUCACCUAGGCGACGAUCAGUAGCGGGUCUGAGAUGAUGGUCCGCCACCCUGGGACUGAGAAACAGCCCAGACUCCUACGGGAGGCAGCAGUGGGGAAUUUUGGACAAUGGGCGAAAGCCUGAUCCAGCCAUGCCGCGUGUCUGAAGAAGGCCUUCGGGUUGUAAAGGACUUUUGUCAGGGAGGAAAUCCCUAGUGCUAAUAACACUGGGGGAUGACAGUACCUGAAGAAUAAGCACCGGCUAACUACGUGCCAGCAGCCGCAGUAA